rnacentral:ncRNA from 1 species
GAUGCGAAAGCCGAAAAGCAAUAGAGUAGGCA